GAUGAAGAACGUAGCGAAAUGCGAUAAGUAAUGUGAAUUGCAGAAUUCAGUGAAUCAUCGAAUCUUUGAACGCACAUUGCGCCCGCCAGCAUUCUGGCGGGCAUGCCUGUUCGAGCGUCAUUUCAACCCUCGAGCCCCCCGGGGGCCUCGGUGUUGGGGGACGGCACACCAGCCGCCCCCGAAAUGCAGUGGCGACCCCGCCGCAGCCUCCCCUGCGUAGUAGCACACACCUCGCACCGGAGCGCGGAGGCGGUCACGCCGUAAACGCCCAACUUUCUUAGAGUUGACCUCGGAUCAGGUAGGAAUACCCGCUGAACUUAAGCAUAUCAAUAAGCGGAGGA
rnacentral:misc_RNA from 1 species